rnacentral:ncRNA from 1 species
UGAAAGCCUAUAUAACCUGUUUAUUAUAUGAAGUUCACAUAGGUUAACACACCCCCUUCACGCCAAUGGAGAAUUUUCCGCAAUGGGCGAAAGCCUGACGGAGCAAUGCCGCGUGAAGGUAGAAGGCCUACGGGUCAUGAACUUCUUUUCCUGGAGAAGAAGUAAUGACGGUAUCCGGGGAAUAAGCAUCGGCUAACUCUGUGCCAGCAGCCGCGGUAAGACAGANGAUGCAAGCGUUA